GAGAGUGCCCACGCCAUUGUCAUUCCCCGUGGUGCCAGGACUUGACGAGGUCCACCUUCCCGAGAGGAAUCAGUCUCACUCCUGGGGCAAAGGAGAAAGUGGGACCGGCCCUCCUCCUACCUGGUUCAGAUAAGACCUGUCCUACAGGACCCCCGCGAUGGGGGGAGGGAGGGUGCACAUGCACUUCCUGGGACCAGAGGUCUGGUCUCAUCUUAGCCCAGUUCCCAGGGUCUUCUGGGUCAGGCCACUGAAUACUGGGCUCUGGCUAGAGCGUCUCCACCUCGGCGCUCUAGCCCACCGCCCCCAGCCCAGCAUUGCUGGCGCCUUCUUCCUGCCAGGCCUGGCGCCACCUGUUGGAAAGGGGAUGAAAUGGCAGGCCGCCCCUUGACACUCCCUGGCAAUGGAUCCUGUGGGGCAAUGGGUCCUGUGGGGCCUCAUCUGAGUACUUUCUACGUUCGACCAUUACAAGCGAAGGCCAAGGAAGCAGUGUUUUGAUAGUUACUAACUAUGGCGCCAUCUUGGGGAAUUCUCCAGCACAGCAAUUCUACCUCCAGUGGAUGGCCAGAGAGGGUUCUAACCUAAAACUGAUGGCGCAGAAGCUAAAGCUGACAGUCUUGAUGACAGGCUUCAUGAGAAAACAGCCCUGUUAUUACUUCAUAGUUUCAGAUUUUAGUAAAUGUGAUGAAUAUUUUUGCUAAGGGAUGUCAUGAUUCAAAA